AUUUGCAUUCGGUGUGACAUUGCCAUCCAAAACAAAGAGGCCCAAGUGUCUGCGGCUGAGAAAACUCACAAAGACUUUUGUGCGGGGUCUGAAACCGCCAAUCCUCAGUUACAAGUGAGUGGAAACAAAGCCGUGGAAUAAAGCAGAGACCGAGAGCCAACCCCCUCUUCGGUUAUUCUGCAACUCUUGUAGGCCAAAUCGCUCGAUGUCCCCCAGUUUGUUUGGCAUUGUGUGGAUGUUUCUUCAGAAGAAAAGCCCGAGGUACCUGAUUUACCUCCAAGACUGAGAUCAGAACAGGAAGAUCUGGGCUUCUGACCCCGCCCUUGGGGAAGAAGCACCUGGGUUCUGCGCAAAUUAUAUCCCAGAAACCAGGAAUUGAUCUAGCAAGAAAGUUGGAGGUGACCAGAGGAGCAGGGAGGAAGAAAACUGUUCAAAGAACCCCGCCAUCUCCAUGAAAACAAGCCCAUGUUAGCCUGCUGGAGGAAGAGAUACCAUAAGCAGGAGAACCAAGGUACCCCAGUUGACAGCCAGCUCACCCCCAGAAGCAGAGCUAAACAUACACACAUACACACACCACACACAUAGAGCUGAGUUGAGACCAGAAGAAUGGCCCAGCUGAGCCCAGCCUAA